rnacentral:rRNA from 13 species
GCAUGGUAGGCAGUUUGACUGGGGCGGUCUCCUCCUAAAGUGUAACGGAGGAGUUCGAAGGUACGCUAGGUACGGUCGGACAUCGUGCUAAUAGUGCAAUGGCAUAAGCGUGCUUAACUGCGAGACCGACAAGUCGAGCAGGUACGAAAGUAGGACAUAGUGAUCCGGUGGUUCUGUAUGGAAGGGCCAUCGCUCAACGGAUAAAAGGUACUCCGGGGAUAACAGGCUGAUACCGCCCAAGAGUUCAUAUCGACGGCGGUGUUUGGCACCUCGAUGUCGGCUCAUC